AAGAGUAACAAUGGGCAUCCUUAGAACUUAAGGGUUUUGUUUAUUUUCAGAAAAUAGACCUGUGAAAGGAAGAAAAUCUUUCAGUCAAAACCCAUAUAACUCCAAAACUUUGUCUAUCACAUUGUUACGUGUUCAACCUCCUAGUUCAUUUAUUUCCAAUAAACAGUAUUUUUAACACAGCAGUUUUUCAGAUAACCUACUUUUCCCAAGGAACAACCCUAAGAGGCAGAGGGUCUACACAUAUCAUAGUUUUUAUCUCCUCCCUAAUUUGUUUACUUUAAAAAAACAGAAACUGACCUCACUUGGAAGGCUAUAGUAUUUUAAGCCUACAAAGAUGUCAGUUCAGGCUCGGUAUUUCAAAAGCACAAACGGAGAAGUGAAUUCUAUCAGACUGUUCCUCAGCUGACAGUGAUGCUGCUGCAGCAAAGCCAGUAAAGAACUAGACAACAGCCACCAGGCCACCAUCCAGCCUCAAAAUCACCUUUCCUAAUCACAAUGUGCACUCUCUCAAUCAAAAGUGAGUGCCGAUACAUGGCAAAUCACAGACCGCAAAAUAUGACAAAGGGAAUCUGCUGCCAUUCAAGCAUUUAAUCACCUAUCUCAGUUUAUUUAUACAGCCUUUGUCAGAACACUUGUUCUACAUCAAAUGACCAAGAAGAACUUUUUUUUUUUUUUUCAAGAAAAUAGUGAUGGACAGAAGUUUUCAAAGACAGCCAUUGCUCUCAUUACCUUCACCAAGCCACAGCAUGUUCCAGGGCUAUAUACUGCAAUAAUUCAUUAGCUCCUCCACCUAAUUUUGCUUGAUUAAACCUUUAAUAUUUACACUUAGAAACUGUCAGCUGCAAAACAGCCAGUGUUUUAGACAAUUAAAAUCCUUCACCACUUCAGAUCAUAUACCAUUUAGUUCUAGGAGUCCGGACUGUUUUGUAAGAUUCAUGAACAUGCCAUUUAGAAGAUAUGUAAAGGAUCUCUUGAACUAAUAUAUGCAAAAAUAUCAAAUAUUUCACACCAUACAGCUUCAAAAAAAAAUUAAAAGCUGAGCUGUUGAUAAAAUCUGAAAAAAAGCAAUUUUUUUCCUACAAAAUGGAAACAAAAGGUCUGAGCGUUUUUAUCAGAACAAAACCUUGAUAAACCAAACCAAAAAACACCUUUUCACCAGUAGGAGCAGCACAAGCAUAAAUACUGUUUAACUUGACAAAACUGGGUGCUUGCUAAUAUUGCUCCCCUUUGCUUCUCUUCCUCAUCCUGAUCAAAACAAGCUAAACCAGUAGAAGCACUGUUGUGUCUGUACAACAUUUAAAACUUGCAACUGCUGCAGACCUAGUUAUAUUAGCAAGAGCCUGUGUCAUUCCAUUCCAGAGCAAAGCAGCUUCAUUCAUGAACAGAAACGUGUCGUUCAGACAGUCACAAAGUGGUCACACCCUCCCGAUGAAGAGGGUCUUAUAGAAAAUGAAGCAAAAUGUAGACAGUUGAUUAUCAAGUAAGUAGGAAUAAAUAUUCUGUGUGUCAGUGUGCACAGCACAGCUGAAACCUGAGUGAGUUUGCUCCUAACACGUCACAACUGGACAUUGCUUUCCUGGAUAUACUGACUUUCAUGAAGUAUAUAACUCUUCAGAGACCCAAGAAACUUCCCUGAUGAAGAAACCAACACUCCAUUUAAUGAAAUCUAUUUUAGACUAAUAACAGGUUCACUGAGCUUUUAUUUGCUCCUGUUUAUCACCCACUUGAGGAAAAUAAUCUUAAUUCUAUUGAGAGACACAUUGCAUUAAAAUGCCAAAUUUAAAGAAAGGCACAAUUUCAAAAUGAAGAAAUGGGAGUCUUAAUAAGAACACAAAUUACAAAAAAAAAAUACAGAAUAAACAGAAAGAAAGGCAGGAUCAUAUGCAAAUAAAAUAUUCUUUCUGUAAGUGACCAGGAUUUCUAAGAACAACAGCACAAAUUUAGGUGGGCUCAAUUCUCAGUCCAGAAACUUCAAACAAAAAAAACCACCCUCCUUGCUGGUGAUGGCAAUAUAUAUAUAUAUAUAUAUAUAUAUAUAGGUAUAUGCCACAUACUGGGGAUCACAUCCUUUAACACUGAACAGGCUAUCUUUUGUUCCAUUCAACACUUUUAUAUCAAGUAUACCAGAAGAUAUUUAUUACCUGGUAAAGCAUUUAAGGAAAAGUUUGUUUUCUGAAAUAAAAAUAUUAAGUUAACUUCUGAGUGCAGUUAAAUUCAGUGUCACUGAGCCCACAUAUAAAAUACUAACUUCUGAUGGCAAAAAACCACUGUAUUUUACAGUUCACUCUGCAUUAGUGUAAUGUACCAAAUUUCUCUAUAGUACUAGCCACAGAAAUAAAUAUUAACAUUAAAUUUAAUACAAACGACAGUAAAGCAGUCAAUAUUGAGCAUAUGAGAAAACAGCUCAAGUAAUAUCCUCAGGAAACCUCUGUAGAUUUUACACAUCUUUAAAAAUUAGGAUACACAUUUAAGUGCAAAAUUGUAUAAUCCCUUUAGAGUAUGCAAAAUGGUUGUCAAGAAAUAACUGCAUUUUUUCAGAGAGCAGAGUUUCAUCAAUACAUAAAAACAGUUUAUUCACAUAAUAUACAAUCUAGGAGCACUGAAAGACAUCACCGUCAGAAUCAAUGUCUUAUAGCCCAUCCUGCUAUCACCAGUUUUCAGUAUUACAGAAAGAUACAUUCUGCAACUUCCCAUCAUAAUCUUCAAGGACUUUGAUAGCAAACAGUAAACAAUGUAUUACAAAACUGCAGUACUCAAUCUCAUUUAAGGAUAUUGACAAAUCUAACGAGCACUAAUGAAAGUUUAUGAAAUUAUUUUAAUAUCUCUAAUGCUGCAUUACAAAGUAAGAUCCAUCCAACAGUCAGCGCUAUCCAAAGAAAGUACAAUAGAAAUGAGUAAACUACAGAGCUAGCCAUACUCCUAAUUUCAUCAGAGAAUAGAGCGCAGAACACUCUGAAGGAUAUAAACAGGCUACCAUAAUUUCUGAAAUGAAAUAAAGUAACCCCCAGAUCCUUUGGUUUUAAGCUCCAACCAGGUAGUUGAGUGAAGCCUGAGUAUUUCUACAAAAAUACAUCACAAGAAACCACCUCUCACUCUAAGUUUUUUACGUCAAGAUUUACAACUUAAAUAUUUUGCAAUCAAAACAGUUUCAAGUUUGUUGUUUUCAGUCCAACUAUAGAGAUUCUUAAUGGAUGCAAAAGGAAUUGCAAGUCUGGAUGGGAACGUAUCACAUUAAAAACCUGCCUAGCUUUUCAUAAAUAAGUUGCCAAAUGACUGUGACUUACAAGUGUUUACACUCAAAAUUCUAACUCACUACUACUUAGAUGUACAUCCUCCAUCAUUGCCAAAGACAAGGUCCCUAUAAUUUCUGAUCAGUCACCUCUACUUGUUUGCCUGAUCCUACCUAGGAACACUUCUGUAUUUCUAAAAUUACCUUUGCAUUUUUUAAAAUGCUGGCAAUCCAUUCCUUCAAUUGUGUUUUGAGCAAGCAUAAUUCAAUGAUAUUUUGAAUCACAGCUAGUACUCUAACAAUGCAGUUGCUGCUAUAACAUGCAUUUAAAGAGAGUAAGUAGCCUGUCAAGCAUAUGUUAUGAAAUGAUUUAACUAUAAAAUGCCCUAUCAUUUAUAGAUGCCAAUUUGGGUGGUUUUUUCUGUGACUACCUGUUUAACUUGCCUGCUUUAAGAAACUUGUAUAAUUGUUCUUUAUUUUGCUUCUAACAGAAUACCAGUAAAACGUUUCCUUGUUUCAGAAAACUGUCAAAACUGUGCAUGAAAAUACUCCCAUCUCCUAGUUUAUUUCAAAAGCAGCAUGUUCAAAAUUCCAACCCUAUCUAUCACAAUUUAAUUACAGCAUGCAGACAGAACAAAGACACAACAUCACAAAGAGCUUCUACAUCCACACAAGCAACAUACAGGUGUGCAGAAGAAUGGUGCCUACACCACUACCACACCGAGUGGCUGGCAACCAUAUGUCAAGUCAUGAACCUCAUGGAAUGAGCUGCACUGCAGUGAGAGCUGCAACCUCUGCUCCACACACAAACAAGAGAUCCCUAUAUUUUCCCAUGCUCUAUGGAAGAUGCUGGGUAGUCAGUCACACCAGCCCCAUUAGGCCCAGCCAGCCCUUUCUACUGUCAGGAGGGAUGCAUUUAGCAAGUUCACAGUAUAGCUAUACGGCUUCUAGCCCCCAACAUGGCCCCAACACCACAAAGCCUGUGCAAGGAACAAGCCAUUCACAAAGAGGUAGUAGAUGGUGAAUUUACUAUAUGAAAGGAGGCAGCUGCUACUACGUGUGGAAGCAUGUCACAUUGUACAACCAAAUCUUUAUUUACAUAUUUCCUUUUUACAUGUGGGAAAAGCAAGUGCGAAGUUUUGCCACACAGGCAUACUGCUGGCUUUGUUCACAUCCUCACACCAAUAUGCUUCUCUGUAGAGCUGCUUUCCAGCUGUUUAGCCCCACCACGUGCUUAGGGUUACUAAUCCCUAGUGGCAGAGCUCUGUGAUUCCUUUGUUUAACUACACAAGAUCUCCUGCAGCCCAAUUCUCCAGCCUGUCCACAUCACUCUGGAUGUCAGCACAACUACCUGGUGUUUCAACUGCUCCUCUUUCAGUUUUGCAUUAUCUUUGAACUUCCUAAGGGUGCAUGCACUGUGUCCAAGUAGGACACAGUUUUGGCCCCUGAAAGGACCCUAGGGAAUACCCUCAGUAAUUUGCCUCUAUCUGGACUCUGAGCUGCUGAUCAUCAUGCUCUGUUCCCAGUCAUUCAACCAGUUUUCAAUGCAUCUCAUAUCCUUUUACCUAAUCUAUACUCUGUCAGUCUGUCUGCAAGAAAACUAUGGAAGACAGUCUCAAAAGCCUAACUAAAGUUAUGGUAAACUCUCUCCCUUUCUCCCCCAAGUCAAUGACUACACCACAGAAGGCUCUUGGGUUGGUUAAGCUCAAUUUUCCUAUUAUGAACCCAUGCUGAUUACUCCUCACCACCUUCAGCACUAAAUAUAAUAAAAUAUAUUAACAUUUAAAUAUAUUAUAAAUUAAAUAUAUAUCCAGAAUAUCUAGAUUAUAUAUUAAAUAUAUUAAAAUUUAAUAACAGAAACCUUUCUCUGCUCUAUCACUAACAAGACUGAUACAGAGAGUAUUUUAUAUAAAAUAAAAACUAUUAAAGACUACCUUCAGUCUUUAAAUAGUGCAUAAAAGUAAAUAAAGCAGGUCAAGUGUAUAAACUGUCAAGCCCUGAACAUUUUACUAGUACUGACAUACUCUGGAGGGAUACUGAGGAAUCAACCCUGCAAUACUUAUGUGCAGCACAAAGACUACGUUAAAACAAGAUGCCUUCUCCUCCCUUCUACUAUGCCUACCAGCAAGACAUAUUACAAGAUGCUUAUUUUUUGGGGGAGAAAGAUAUGAAAGAAACUGGAAAACUACUACGUUUUACAGAAUUUUACAAAUUUAUGCUUGCACCAAAAUAUGGAGUCCUAUUCUGAAGAGACCUAAGGCCUCACUAGAAAAUCUGUGUUUGUCUUCACAACCACAGAACAUAUAGAUAAAAAAGCUUGAAAAAACACAGUGCAGUAUUAUGCUUCUCAGUGGGGCAGGCUAGUAGAUGAACUGCCAAAGUCCCACACUGGUAUUAUGGGACUCAAUCAAUGACACAAAAUAAAAACUAAAUAAAGAGCAGGCCAAGAGACUCUAGUUACUAUUUAAACAAAAUUACAUUAUCUAAUGUUAAUUAUCUAAUGUUAACUAGAAAUACUGACUAAGCUACUGAAAAAUUGUCCUCAAACUUCUGGCUUCAAAUGCUGUCCUACUUCUGGUUUUAUUUAACUGAAGUUUUCAUUUACCUAUGAACUAACACACUCAGUUUAUUUAUUGCUUCACUUCCUGUUGUAGCUUAGGUACAAUGUUGUUUCGCUGUGUUUAACCACUCAUUUAAGACAGUACUUUUAACACCACACAUCCAGCCAGAAGCAGCCCAGAAUACACUCCCCACCAACUUUUGAAAAAUAAGGUGCUGUUUUCCACACACAACAGGAAGUAAUGAAGAAAAUCAUUAUCUAAUUAAGACAAUAUUCUUUGCUAGCUACUUUAACUGCUAAACAAAGAAACUUCAUACACUAAAAUCUAUUGACAUCACAUUUCAUUUUCUUUAUACAGCACCUAACUGAACACACCAACAUUAUUUCCUCAUAAUUUACAGUGCAACAGAUUCAUUCAUUAGUCUGGAAAAACGCCUACUGCAAUUAUUCAGAAAAAAAAUUUUCAUGAGUUACUGAAACAAAUGCAGAACUCUCAGCUUGCCACCUUUAACUCUCAUGUGAAGAUACGAGAACUUCACUCUAUAAUCAGGCAAAAAAUGGUCUACUUUAAUGCAAUCCAUUCUUAUUUAGUAUUUCUCUCCCUGUCUUCAUCGUCAGUGCUUUUUCCUAUUAUGGUGCCUGAACAAACUCCAAGAGUAACCAUAAGAAUAUAUCUGCUUUAGGCAAGAUUUGUUUUAACCAGACAGUAUUUUGACAGCCUAUUUCAUUUUAUGUGGUUGAUCACUCAGAUUUCAACUGAUUUCCAUUUCAAACUGAUAAGCACUGCUCAGAAAACACUAAAUGUAAAUGCCAGUUUUGCUGCAAUACUGGAAUGACUCCUGCCACAUUAAUGCAAUGCCAGGACAGAAAAUAAUUUUGUCAACUAAGAUUUUAAAUCAAAUACAUAAAAGAAUCAGCAUUCAUUCAUUCAUUAAACCCAAAGGCAUUUCCUUAUGCUAUUUGAGGCUCUGUCACUGAGGUCUGCAAAUGGGGCAGAAAGCAAGGGAACAAAUGACCUAAACUGUGCAUCCAACUUAGCAUUAAGCUGCAACAUAAACACACCACUGCUGUGCUCCAUGAAAAUGAAAACCCACACACACACACUGAACAGACACGCUUCAAGUUAGCUUCACUCCAGAUCAAAGAUUAAAAAAUCAACCCUACUGGGGGAUUCUGAGUUUGUGAAUAAAGAGAAGGUCUUACAUGCUAGUAUCCUCCCACUGCUUGAAUACUAAAGAAUACACACUAAAAGAAGACAUAUUUCCCAGAUCUCCCUGAGCAAACUAUAUUUACAACAUCCUUAUGGGAAGUGCAGAACCUGCAGGUGCUUCAUUUCCCAUCUCUUUGUAUUAGUUACUAUGAAAGCCAGAAUGCCAACUUCACACCAUCUAAAAGCAUAGCCAUGUUUUAAAAAGCAUUUGUAACACCUUUAUGGCCUAAAAAUUGGAAAACUAGUAACUCAUAUUGUGUCUGGUUUGUGUUUGAGCUUUUUUGUUUGCUUUGGGCUUGUUUUUUUAAUUUGCAAAACAAGCUCAGAGAAGCUUGUUAUAGAAGCUAUUAUAAUUUUAUGUCCUACUUAAAAUGACAAUGGCUCCUGAAAUCAUAAGAGUAUGUAACAUAAUGCUGAAGUUAACUCUGUCAGAAUAUAAAGAAUGAACCCAAAAUUUUACACAGAUUUUUAGUUAACUUUCUGACCUAUCUAUAAAUAUCUCUUUAAAUACAACUGUAUGUUACUCCCUAAAUUAUCCACUAUACACAAAAACUACAAUAUAUUUACAGUAAUUAUACUAAUGAAAAAAAUCUAAGCCUCUAAAACCAUUUCAUUUUGGGGAGAAUAUUAUAAGGAUAUGGAAGAAAAGGUUUAUUUUCUAUUCUAACACACACCUAGGAAGUGCUUUGAGUAAACCUGCAGAUUUUCUACAGUGAAAUCCAAACUUUGUAUUUAGAGUACUUACUAGUUACAUGGACUCUAUAUAACAUUAUCUGAUCUUAUAUUUCACAAAACUUAAACAAAGAACUAGUCUGCCUCCAGUGGAAGAUUCUUUCCAGCACUAAAGGAACCCAAAUUAACCUGAUGCAUGGUUAAAUACAGUAAAACCUGUAAGUUUACAGUUUAUUCCAAAUGUCUCCUCUCACCAAGCAUAAACUAUAUGAAAACAACUUUAAAUUGGCUGAGCAGCAAGGCAGUUAAAACAUUUAUAAAAAUAUUCCUCUAUUAACACUUUUAAAAUUAGAAAUUAUUUUAAUUCAUUUUAAAUCCAUGAUUCAAGACUGCCUGAAUUUUUAAAAAGAUCCAAUAAGGGGGCAUUACUUCGGCUGUUUCUGUAUAAAAUGGAAAAGAUAAGUUAACUUUUUUUCAGCAGAAAGCAAUGCAACACAAAAUGACGACACCGUAAAUAAAGUCUUGUACGCCAUGGACAGGUUUUUUUACUCUACUUACAGAAAUUAAGUUUAUGACUCUACCGAGAAGGGACUACCAAGUGACUGGAAAAGUCUCCCCAACAGGUAGUUUAAAAGACUACCAGACACUCUUCCUGGCAGCCUCUGCAGUACUGCUAUGAAAACCUGUAAACAACUAACUCAGACGCCUUUUUCCCGUGAGCUGAUCCCACUCAGUACCGGAGGACUAGCUCCCCGUGAAGGGGAAGGAGUCCGACCUCCCUGCUGCCGCCGCUCACUCCCCCGACUUGCGGGUGGGCUGCGCUCCACAGUCCCUGGGCACAGUCCCCGUGAAGAAAACUUCCCGCUGGAACGGAACCGGAGGAGGGAGGGAAGUCCAAUGAUAGAGAGUGAAAGACUGACUUUUCUUCUCCAAGUCUGUGUGCAAAAGAGAACUCAGCAAGUCCACCAUCUAGUUUGAAACUGUGAGCUUAAACAUUUGAAACCCACCAGGCUGGAGAUUCAACUGGACAAGAAGAACCAGUAACAUUUCUAGACUAGCUCUAGAAACGCAGGAAAUAGAACGCAGGAAAAAAAAAGAAAAACUGAACCAACAACCAAAAGACUUCUUCUCUGUGAUGCUAUUCUUACUGUAAAUUUGGUUUAUCAAUACUGUGUGUUUUGAGUAAUUUAGUAAUUCCUGCUGGUUGAAACCGUGUGUGUAUGAAAUAUGUCCAAACUAUAGGAAUCUUAAUAAACACCAUAGUCGGGGGACAGAGGGUGGCCACACGGGAUGACGGAAUCGCAGCUGGCACCAGAAGAAAAAGGAAUUAACAUACAAACAGGACUUAGCAAUGACAAGGAAGCUGCCCAGCGAUGAUGGCCCAUGAAGAUGUCCUAUCUAGAUAAUCAGAGCCAUCGGGAACAUACAUCUGAAUGCUCGAUUUUGGUAACCGAGUAACAAUGCACAUCGCUUCCCAGACAAGGUUUUGUGCAGCACAGGGCAUAGAAUGAAACCGACAUGAAUAUGGAGGACUCUGAAAGAGGACAAUGAACUUAGCCUCGGGCUAGAAAAAGAGUAUAAAAAAGGACUCUGCCAUGCAGCAUGCA